rnacentral:lncRNA from 1 species
ACAACAUUAACAAUGUCUACACAGUAUUUCUGAUCAAUUUGAUGUUAUUAUAAAUGGACAAAAAAUUUAGCUUUUCUUUCAAAAACAAGGACAUUUCUAAGUGACCCCAAACUUUUGUAAGGUAGUGUAUGUGCCAUGAAGCGAGUUACAUUACUUUGAGCAUUUAAAGUAUAUGUAUGUGAUCCCUGCAGGAAAUGAACCACAAACCAGUGGGUAAGUAAGUAAGUAAUUUUAGAAUAAUAAUUGUCAUUAUGCUGUUGCCAUGUGGUUUCUAAGUAAAAACAUGGUAAUUAGGGGAGAGAAAUACAGUGCUACCUCAUUCUUGUACAGUCACUCUAAUGUUUGGCCUGUGUCAUGAGAGGUCUUAACUUACCUGCUUAAAUAACGAAGGAAGAAUAAAUAAACAAAUCAUUAGCAUCAUAAACAGCGGUGAGAAUUAGAUAAUCCUAAUUAUGGAAAUGUAAAGGACUUAAAUAUGUGUAUGUGAGCAUGUAUGACUGUGUGUGUCUGUGGUGUGUGUCUGUGGUGUGUCUGUGGUGUGUGUUUGUGCAUAUCCAUGUGUCUCAGCACAAGCUGCUAUAUAUAUACACAUCCACAUCCUAAUGCAAAGAAGCAGCUACCCAACCAUCAUUAAUGCAGUGUCCCAUUCACUUAGACAAAACCCAUCAGGUUUGGUUAUCCAUUCACUGCUUUUAUAUUUGCUGUCCAUUUCCUGCAUAUUCUUCUUUGGAAAAUCAUCAUUGCAUAACUCCCUUCCUGUUAUUCACGCCACUUUAAUAGGUCCUCAUUAGUCCAGCAUCGAUUCCAAAAGGGAGCAGUAUAAAUCCAAAUAAUCCCAAGCGAGAAACACAAAAGAAUAGCGUAGUCACAUAUUGCCGCUGGUCGUGUACUGUAAAGCAAAAGCCAAGAAACAAAUAUAUAUAUAUAUUUGAAAAUUAAUAUGAUACUUCCUUUUAAGUGUAAAAAGAGGAAGACUAUUUCAAGUUCAGUUCUGAUGUUCUCUUCGGCCUAUUUUUGAGAGUAGGGGAGCAGUGUGACACGUCAGGCUCUCGUGGUGGUUCUGCUGUGGCUUCGCUCUCCUCUGGAAUGUCCUGAAGAUCUGAGGAGUAGAAUGAUGGCGCUCAGCACUAGCCCUGGAAAGACAUCUCCACCCACACACAAACACUGAGAGAAGCAGAGGGAUGUGAGUUGUUCGCAUGCACACACAGAGAGAGAACAUGAGGUUCCACUGCCUACAUGGAGAGAUAAGAAUGGCACCAGAGAGGACCUGCACCAUUGUUGCUGUCACAGUGGUAUUGCAGAAUAGCUGCGUGAAGAAGAGGCUGCCCCAUCCCAUGACUGAGCCAGGGCACAGGAA